rnacentral:tRNA from 1 species
GGUGAGGUGUCCGAGUGGUCGAAGGAGCACGCCUGGAAAGCGUGUAGGUCGUAAGGCCUCGAGGGUUCGAACCCCUCCCUCACCGCCA